rnacentral:lncRNA from 1 species
CCUCCCCUCGAUCAACCAACAAGUCCCUGGCACUAGGACCCUGAGGACGGGGAACUCUGAGCCUGCGCUGUAGAGAGAGAGAUGCACCAUUUCACAACUUCAGCAAAACCCAAAGCAGCCAGCAAAGCCACAGCCACCUCGGCUAUGCUUGGCUCUGCCUUUUGGGCAGCUCACCAGCCACUCCCCAGAAGCAGAGCAUUCUGUCCUUUCUCUGUUUAAACCCACGUCAUCAACUGAUCAUAACGGAAAUCAAUCCCCUCAAGUCACCAAGCAAAGGCGUAUCCAUGGCAACCUCAAGAGGAAGGACACAGAAAUGAUGCUCCAGUGGCUGCAGCAGGAAAAGGUGCCAACCUGAGGCCUUGCCUGGUAGGGACCGUGAACAAGACUCCAAAGACCCUAAAACUCCAAUUUGUAUGACUAGAGCCCAUCCUUCCAAUCCCUGAUACUGAACAGAGAAGAACAUCUGCGUUCAUUUGGGUAGACUUCUAGGCACUUCAGAAAAUGGGGAGGAACCAAGAGGGAAAAAAACUCCCCUUGAAAAAAGUUCAAAGGACUCAUUUGAAAAGACCUGACACUGGGAAAGAUUGAAGGCAGGAGGAGAAGGAGACGACAGAGGAUCAGAUGGUUGGAUGGCAUCACCAACUCAAUGGACAUGAGUUUGAGUAAACUCUGGAAGUUGGUGCUGGACAGGGAGGCCUGGCGUGCUGUGGUCCAUGGGGUCGCAAAGAGUCGGAUAUGACUGAGCGACUGAACUGAACUAAAAAAAGGAAUGCUGUUUCCAGGAGGGAGGAA